rnacentral:rRNA from 1 species
GACGAACGCUGGCGGCGUGCUUAACACAUGCAAGUCGAACGGAAAAGCCCUGCUCUUGUGGGGUGCUCGAGUGGCGAACGGGUGAGUAACACGUGAGUAACCUGCCCUUGACUUUGGGAUAACUUCAGGAAACUGGGGCUAAUAACGGAUAGGAGCUCCUGCUGCAUGGUGGGGGUUGGAAAGUUUCGGCGGUUGGGGAUGGACUCGCGGCUUAUCAGCUUGUUGGUGGGGUAGUGGCUUACCAAGGCUUUGACGGGUAGCCGGCCUGAGAGGGUGACCGGCCACAUUGGGACUGAGAUACGGCCCAGACUCGUACGGGAGGCAGCAGUGGGGAAUAUUGCACAAUGGGCGGAAGCCUGAUGCAGCAACGCCGCGUGCGGGAUGACGGCCUUCGGGUUGUAAACCGCUUUCGCCUGUGACGAAGCGUGAGUGACGGUAAUGUGUAAAGAAGCACCGGCUAACUACGUG